GAGUACCAGGGUGAAAAGUUACAAAAGCCGUUCGUGCUUGCACGAUAAGGUUUUGGAACUUGGAACCCGCCCAAACAUGAGGAAGUAGCGAUUUACAUAGUAAAUCAGCGGAUUCCGAAUGGUUAGAGGAUUGUGGGAGCAGUUUACUGCGGAACAAUCCGUAGGUACGG
rnacentral:sRNA from 1 species